rnacentral:rRNA from 1 species
AAUACCCUGGCGGCAUGCUUACACCAUGCAUGUCGAACGGCAGCACGGGAGCAUCCUGGUGGCGAGUGGCGAACGGGUGAGUAAUGUAUCGGAACGUGCCCAGUCGUGGGGGAUAACGCAGCGAAAGCUGUGCUAAUACCGCAUACGAUCUAUGGAUGAAAGCGGGGGAUCGCAAGACCUCGCGCGAUUGGAGCGGCCGAUAUCAGAUUAGGUAGUUGGUGGGGUAAAGGCCCACCAAGCCGACGAUCUGUAGCUGGUCUGAGAGGACGACCAGCCACACUGGGACUGAGACACGGCCCAGACUCCUACGGGAGGCAGCAGUGGGGAAUUUUGGACAAUGGGCGCAAGCCUGAUCCAGCAAUGCCGCGUGCAGGAUGAAGGCCUUCGGGUUGUAAACUGCUUUUGUACGGAGCGAAACGGCUUCCACUAAUACUGGGGGCUAAUGACGGUACCGUAAGAAUAAGCACCGGCUAACUACGUGCCAGCAGCCGCGGUAAUACGUAGGGUGCGAGCGUUAAUCGGAAUUACUGGGCGUAAAGCGUGCGCAGGCGGUUAUGUAAGACAGAUGUGAAAAUCCCCGGGCUCAACCUGGGAACUGCAUUUGUGACUGCAUAGCUAGAGUACGGUAGAGGGGGAUGGAAUUCCGCGUGUAGCAGUGA